GAAAAACGCUGCACCUCUGCCAGAUAAGUAGACCUGGGUUUAUUGUGGCGGAAGAUUAGCAUGUAAGAAAGCGUGUUUAUAUAUUAACAUAUAGGCAAAGCUUCAGAAAAAAAUCCAGGCUACCUUGACACGCACACGUACACAGCCUUCAAGCCAGCGCUAUACUAUCAAGCCAGAAUGUUUAUUCUAUACAUUUGCUGCUGGACUGUAGCAGUAGAAGUUCGAGCUCACACGAAUGGACAUGUACCCCUUCCAGAUGCAAGGACGCAGUCUAUUCCACUUGCCGUUGAGGCUUACGUCAUCAGCGAUUACAACCACACGGUAGGACUUCAAAUGCUGUCGUUGAAUGCCUCAGAAUACAUGGAAACGUAUAUGUACAAGGUGAGCCUGCAGCUACAGCAGUUAAGUCCACCGGUUCAUAUCGCUCUAGUAGGAUACAGCACCACAACUGAGGGAAACGCCGAUUAUAUAAGCUCCACGGAUACUGGUGACCUGGACGCGGAUGGCACAGUCACAAAACUAAGGCAGUACGCGGGAAAAAGCACUUCAGUUCAACAAUCUGAUUUGGUAAUUUUAGUCACGGGAUCACGGAUUGUUGACGUUUCAGAGAAAUUUGCGGCUCCGGAAAUGCUUGGAAUUGCACCCUUUGAGGGAAUUUGCAGCAAUUACAGUGUAGCAGUAGUAAAGGACAAGGCUGGCUGGUACACCGGUGUGCAUUCAAUGGUCCACGAAAUGGGGCAUCUGUUCGGCUCCUGUCACGACGGCGAAGACACAGCAACAAGCUGCCCCGCCUCACAUGGCUAUAUUAUGAGCCCAAGCUCUCAUGGAAACCACAGUGAGAAGUUCUCAGAUUGCAGUAAAGCAGCAAUUUCCAAAUAUAUCAGUUCAGACGCUGCGAGGUGCUUGAGAUACGCAGCAUCAGUCAACGCUAUCGGUGUCUACCCUCGCAAGUUUACAUUUCCGUCACAUGAAGAUACAUCUGACUACGAGUAUGAGGAAUCAUACGAGAAUUAGGUACGUCACAACGAACUAUAAUGAAGCCAACCACAUGGAUAUUGGAAACGUCAACAGUGAUAACUCCGACUUCUUCU
rnacentral:misc_RNA from 1 species